UAGAAAUGCAGCAUAAAAAUUCCAUUCCAGUUGCCCGUCCAGCCAGAUUAUAAUUCAGCUGGUGAUACAAGUGUUUGUAUAGCUGAUAAAAUUUCCAUGGGGCUAUCGUCAUUCUGCAGCUUCUCAAUCUUCAUCCUGUUUCUAAUCCUCCAGUCAUCAGACUGCCAACAAGAAUAUAUCAGUACUCUGUCGCUCGACUGCAGUAAAAAUUCUUCUAUAUCAAAAGGGUAUGUUUGCAAUGGAAAUCAAAUUCCAUGCCAGUCCUUUUUAACCUUGCUCUCCCGCCCUCCCUAUGACUCCCCCAUCACCAUUUCUAAUCUUUUAGGUUCGGAAGCCUCGAGUAUAGCCUUGAUCAACAACGUAUCAUCCAUAUUCACAUUUCCCUCAGAGAAAUCGACCAUAGUUCCUGUUUCUUGUUCAUGUACUCAGGGCUUCUACCAGCAUAAUACUUCUUAUUUUAUUCAAGAUCAAAGCGAGACAUUUUUCACAGUAGCCAAUAAUACUUAUCAAGGCCUUACUACUUGUCAGGCAAUUAUGGAUCAAAACUCACAAUUAUCUGCCAGACCAGAUCUUAGCGUGGGAUCGAAGCUUACGGUUCCACUAAGAUGCGCAUGCCCGAGUACAAAUCAAACAGCAAAAGGGGUGAUCUCCUUGCUGGUUUAUACUGUGACGUGGGAUGAGACGAUUUCAUCGAUUGCACAGAGGUUUGGGGUUGAUGAAGCAAGCGUGCUGGAGGCCAACAAGUUGUCACAGGAAGGCAAUAUCUAUCCCUUCACACCUAUUCUGGUUCCACUUACAAACGAGAAUCAUUUGAUAAAUGCGGGGAAUUCAGCAAAUCCGAGGAAUUCAGCAAAUCCAGGGAAUUCAACAAAUUUAGGGAAUUUCUCUUGCCUCUAUGCUAAUGGAUCUGUUCCAGUUGGAGUAGCAGAAGAUAUCUAUUGCAGAGCACAAAAUAAAAAGUUCCCUACCAAACUGGUUGCAGUAUUAGGUGUGGGCAUUGGCGUGGGACUGCUGUGUUUGUUUAUUUUCGCCUAUAAGUUAUAUCAAUUCUUGAAGAAAAGAAGAUACAGAAUUCGAAAAGCCAGAUUGUUCAUGCAAAAUGGUGGCUUGUUGUUGCAACAGCGACUAUCAUCUUAUGGAAGUAGUGAAAAGGCCAAAUUAUUUACUGCAGAGGAGCUGCAGAGAGCAACCGACAACUACAACCAGAGUAGAUUUCUUGGUCAGGGAGGCUUUGGCACUGUUUACAAGGGGAUGCUACCAGACGGUAGCAUAGUUGCUGUUAAAAGAUCAAAAACUAUUGACAGAAGAGAAAUUGAACAAUUUAUAAAUGAGGUUGUCAUUCUAUCCCAGAUAAAUCAUCGAAACAUAGUGAAGUUUCUUGGCUGUUGUUUAGAAAGUGAAUUUCCAUUACUGGUUUAUGAGUUCAUUUCUAAUGGAACCCUUUCCCAACAUAUUCAUGCGCAAGACCAAGAAUCAUCACUUCCAUGGGAGGAUCGUUUCAGAAUUGCAAGUGAAGUAGCUGGAGCAGUAGCAUACAUGCAUUCUGCAGCUUCAUUUCCAAUCUUCCAUAGAGAUAUCAAAUCUUCAAACAUACUCCUUGAUGAUAAAUACAGCGCAAAAGUAUCAGAUUUUGGGACUUCAAGAUUGAUCUCAUAUGACAAAACCCACAUAACCACUAUAGUUCAGGGAACAUUUGGGUACUUGGAUCCUGAAUACUUCUACACAAGCCAAUUCACAGACAAAAGUGAUGUGUACAGCUUUGGG
rnacentral:misc_RNA from 1 species